UCACUGAGAAAACGGAAGGUUGGAGAUG
rnacentral:piRNA from 1 species